GAUUGUGUUUUUGAUGGUUGGUUUGGGUUUGAUUGAUCAACGUGUUUUGGACAGAGUUCAUAUGAAGUUUCAUAUUUGACCAACUUGAUCUAUGAAGGUGUUCAACCGGAAAUUAUGAGUGUGCCAACCUAUGAAGGUGUUUUUAACUUGUGUAUUCUCACAAGUAGGGGGAGAAGAAAGUGACAUAUGAUUAAGAUGCUUGAGAGACACACAAAGUUAAAAAGGGGAGAUUGUUGAUG